UACCAGCGGACUCGAGCGCCGCUGCCCAUGAGCCAGCACUACAACCUGUGCCUGCACUGCAGAUAUUGGCUCGUCAGCAUUGAGCUGGAUCUUCAGAAACUUCUUUCCUGAACGACCAGUUUACCAAAAAGCUGGAGGUGAUGGUUCGUGCCUGUGCUCACCCAGGAGAGUGUUUAACCACUGUGUUUCAAGCAUGCUGAGAAUGCCUGCUGCGAACACUGGCAUGCCUUUGGAGAAGAGGAGCUGCCACUAGGACAGAGA